rnacentral:rRNA from 1 species
GACGAACGCUGGCGGCGUGCUUAACACAUGCAAGUCGAACGGAAAGGCCCUGCUUUUGUGGGGUGCUCGAGUGGCGAACGGGUGAGUAACACGUGAGUAACCUGCCCUUGACUUUGGGAUAACUUCAGGAAACUGGGGCUAAUAGCGGAUUGGAGCUCCUGCUGCAUGGUGGGGGUUGGAAAGUUUCGGCGGUUGGGGAUGGACUCGCGGCUUAUCAGCUUGUUGGUGGGGUAGUGGCUUACCAAGGCUUUGCCGGGUAGCCGGCCUGAGAGGGUGACCGGCCACAUUGGGACUGAGAUACGGCCCAGACUCCUACGGGAGGCAGCAGUGGGGAAUAUUGCACAAUGGGCGGAAGCCUGAUGCAGCAACGCCGCGUGCGGGAUGACGGCCUUCGGGUUGUAUACCGCUUUCGCCUGUGACGAAGCGUGAGUGACGGUAAUGGGUAAAGAAGCACCGGCUAACUACGUG